ACUUCCGGGAUACGAAAGCCUUGCGAUUGGCAGUAGCGAUAGCAGCGGCGUAAAGGCCUCUGCUAUGCUUACUUUAUCCAUCCCUUUUUCCCACCUGUUCGCCACCCCAAGCCGCUAAUCCACCAAUGCAGCAAGCGCAGAACCAAGAGAAAGUAUCCGUCUGUGAGCAUUGUCUCUCUGAUAGACAAACCACAUUACGGCUGCCAUAAAUUCCUCUCGAGCACUUGGACUUCAACUACCAGCAGGCCAUGCAGCAUCACGCCCUUGCCUCUGGCGUAGGAACUGCAAGAUCCAGCAUGCAUUGCGGCCCUCCUUCCUCGCACUCAGGACCAAGAUAGAGCCAACCCAAGCCUCACUUUGAUUUAAAAAAAAAAAAAAAAAAAAAGCCAGGAUGCCUUCUUUUCCUGUUGUGAAGGAACUCUAAGCCAAGCCAUUAUUAGGACUGUAGGUUAUUUAUAAAACAUCAAGGGAUAUGUGCACUCAUUUUCCAUAUUCAGAUUAUUUUCAAGCAUUAAAACACAGGACAGUCGGGCGCGGUGGUUCGCGUCUGUAAUCCCAGCACUUUGGGAGGCCGAGGCGGGUGGAUCGCUUGAGGUUGGGAGUUCGAGACCAACCUGGCCAACAUGGUGAAAGCCCGUCUCUGUUAAAAAAUUAAAAAAUUAGCCGGGCGUGGCGGCGGGCGCCUGUAAUUCCAGCUACUCGGGAGCCUGAGGCAGGAGAAUUGCUUGAACCCGGGAGGCAAAGGUUGCAGUGAGCAGAGAUCGCGCCACUGCACUCCAGCCUGGGCGACAGAGCGAGGCUUUGUGGGGAAAAAAAAAAAAAAAAGAAGGAAAAGAAAAAGAAAGAAAGAAAAAAGGACGGUCCGAAGAUGCUUUUUAUAACGUGGAAAUUUUUGGCCAGGCGCGGCGGCUGACGCCUGUAAUCCCAGCAUUUUGGGAGGCCGAGGCGGGCGGAUCACUUGAGCCCAGGAGUUCCAGACCAGCCUGGCCAACAUGGUGAAAUCCCGUCUCUACUAAAAAUAUAAAAAAUUAGCCGGGUGCGGUGGCGCGCGCCUGUAGUCCCAACUACUCAGGAGGCUGAGGCGGGAGAAUCGCUUGAACUCGGGAGGCGGAGUUUUCAGUGAGCCAAGAUUGUGCCUCUGCACUCCAGCCUGGGCGACAGAGCAAGACCCUGUCUCAAAAAAGUAAAAAUAAAUAAAUAAAUAAAUAAAUAAGUGGAAAUUUUUAUCUUCACUCCUAAAUGAUGUCAAGAGAAAUACUGUUACUGUAAAAUGUAAUCCUAUGCCGUUUUACAGUACCGCAGAUUUUGUUGGAGCAAGGACUACCAGACAUGCUUCUGAAUUACAUAGGAAAUUAUACUAAAAACUAAAAAUAAAAUAUGAAGUCUAUGCCACCGGACUAUGAAACCACAUGGGAAUGAAAACCUUCAAGAAUGAAGAGUUGAAAAGUUCAAAAUUAAACUUGAAAUUUUUUCA
rnacentral:lncRNA from 1 species